GAUCCUAGCCAAGGGUUUACGAUCGUUUUCACAGAUGCUUCGACCACGUCUCAACCAAUCAGGACUCUGCCGAUGUUUCCAUCAUCAGUCCCAUCAACCUCCACAGCUCCACACACUGAGACACCAACACCCAGAGGUACAUGUGUGCUGUUGUAUUUGGUCGUGACUCUUCUCAUCAUUGUCAUCAUCUCUGUGCUGGCGCAGACAAUCAUCUGUAUUCGGAGGAAGUGCAAACCUAAAGGUUCCACUGGAGGAAAGUCAGAUGGCAUGAACUU